CACGUCAACGAGGUUUGCUGACGUGGCAGCAAAUCGCGUCCUAGAGGGAGCAAUUUGUUGCCAUGUCAACAUAGCGCGCUGACGUGG
rfam:Gossypium hirsutum cultivar TM-1 chromosome 20, whole genome shotgun sequence